GACCCCUCUGGCGGCGUGCUUAACACAUGCAAGUCGAACGCUGAAGCCUAGCUUGCUGGGUGGAUGAGUGGCGAACGGGUGAGUAGCACGUGGGUAACCUGCCCAUAAGACUGGGAUAACUCCGGGAAACCGGGGCUAAUACCGGAUAACAUUUUGAACCGCAUGGUUCGAAAUUGAAAGGCGGCUUCGGCUGUCACUUAUGGAUGGACCCGCGUCGCAUUAGCUAGUUGGUGAGGUAACGGCUCACCAAGGCAACGAUGCGUAGCCGACCUGAGAGGGUGAUCGGCCACACUGGAACUGAGACACGGUCCAGACUCCUACGGGAGGCAGCAGUAGGGAAUCUUCCGCAAUGGGCGAAAGCCUGACGGAGCAACGCCGCGUGAGUGAUGAAGGUCUUCGGAUCGUAAAACUCUGUUAUUAGGGAAGAACAUAUGUGUAAGUAACUGUGCACAUCUUGACGGUACCUAAUCAGAAAGCCACGGCUAACUACGUGCCAGCAGCCGCGGUAAUACGUAGGUGGCAAGCGUUAUCCGGAAUUAUUGGGCGUAAAGCGCGCGUAGGCGGUUUUUUAAGUCUGAUGUGAAAGCCCACGGCUCAACCGUGGAGGGUCAUUGGAAACUGGAAAACUUGAGUGCAGAAGAGGAAAGUGGAAUUCCAUGUGUAGCGGUGAAAUGCGCAGAGAUAUGGAGGAACACCAGUGGCGAAGGCGACUUUCUGGUCUGUAACUGACGCUGAUGUGCGAAAGCGUGGGGAUCAAACAGGAUUAGAUACCCUGGUAGUCCACGCCGUAAACGAUGAGUGCUAAGUGUUAGGGGGUUUCCGCCCCUUAGUGCUGCAGCUAACGCAUUAAGCACUCCGCCUGGGGAGUACGACCGCAAGGUUGAAACUCAAAGGAAUUGACGGGGACCCGCACAAGCGGUGGAGCAUGUAGUUUAAUUCGAAGCGACGCGAAGAACCUUACCAAAUCUUGACAUCCUUUGACAACUCUAGAGAUAGAGCUUUCCCCUUCGGGGGACAAAGUGACAGGUGGUGCAUGGUCGUCGUCAGCUCGUGUCGUGAGAUGUUGGGUUAAGUCCCGCAACGAGCGCAACCCUUAAGCUUAGUUGCCAUCAUUAAGUUGGGCACUCUAAGUUGACUGCCGGUGACAAACCGGAGGAAGGUGGGGAUGACGUCAAAUCAUCAUGCCCCUUAUGAUUUGGGCUACACACGUGCUACAAUGGACAAUACAAAGGGCAGCGAAACCGUGAGGUCAAGCAAAUCCCAUAAAGUUGUUCUCAGUUCGGAUUGUAGUCUGCAACUCGACUACAUGAAGCUGGAAUCGCUAGUAAUCGUAGAUCAGCAUGCUACGGUGAAUACGUUCCCGGGUCU
rnacentral:rRNA from 1 species